rnacentral:rRNA from 1 species
AACGCGAAGAACCUUACCUACUCUUGACAUCCACAGAACUUUCCAGAGAUGGAUUGGUGCCUUCGGGAACUGUGAGACAAGUGCUGCAUGGCUGUCGUCAGCUCGUGUUGUGAAAUGUUGGGUUAAGUCCCGCAACGAGCGCAACCCUUAUCCUUUGUUGCCAGCGCGUCAUGGCGGGAACUCAAAGGAGACUGCCGGUGAUAAACCGGAGGAAGGUGGGGAUGACGUCAAGUCAUCAUGGCCCUUACGAGUAGGGCUACACACGUGCUACAAUGGCAUAUACAAAGAGAAGCGAACUCGCGAGAGCAAGCGGACCUCAUAAAGUAUGUCGUAGUCCGGAUCGGAGUCUGCAACUCGACUCCGUGAAGUCGGAAUCGCUAGUAAUCGUAGAUCAGAAUGCUACGGUGAAUACGUUCCCGGGUCUUGUACACACCG